rnacentral:rRNA from 1 species
AUGCUUAAAACAACUGAAAUUGUACAUAACAUGAAAUCACGAACUUUAUUAAAUGUCUGGACACCAUCAAAAGUGAUUGCUCGUCUUGGCAAAGAAAUAAAUGAUGAAAGCUCCUACCUUUAUUGGGCAGACAAGUGCCCAACAUUGACAGAUGGAACGCUCGGAGACAUGCUGUUUUGUCAUGCAGCUCACAAUCCUGGUCUUAUUAUCGACAUUGUACAAGAUAUAAGGCUGAUAAAUGGUGAAGCCAUUCAUGCAAGCCCAAGGAAGACAGGGGUCAUAAUUCUUGGUGGAGCCGUUCCAAAGCAUCACAUAUGCAAUGCAAAUAUGUUUCGCAAUGGUGCAAAUUAUGCAGUCUAUAUCAACAGAGCUCAAGAGUUUGAUGGAAGCGACCCAGGAGCACGGCCAGAUGAAGCAGUUUCAUGGGGAAAGAUCAAAGGUUCAGCAAAGCUUGUAAAGGUCCACUGUGAUGCGACUAUUGCGUUCCCAUUACUCGUAGCCGCAACAUUUGCACGUGGAUCUCAUAGUGGAAAUUCAACCAGCUGA